AUACGUAGGUGGCGAGCGUUGUCCGGAUUUACUGGGCGUAAAGGGAGCGUAGGCGGAUUUUUAAGUGAGAUGUGAAAUACUCGGGCUUAACCUGAGUGCUGCAUUUCAAACUGGAGGUCUAGAGUGUCGGAGAGGUAAGUGGAAUUCCUAGUGUAGCGGUGAAAUGCGUAGAGAUUAGGAAGAACCCCGGUGGCGAAGGCGACUUACUGGACGAUAACUGACGCUGAGGCUCGAAAGCGUGGGGAGC
rnacentral:rRNA from 1 species